rnacentral:sRNA from 1 species
AACUAGACCUGAUGGAAACGACAUCCUUUUUAUCCUGAACUUGAUUCAGGAUCCUGAAUCAAGUUCAGGAUAAAAAGAUACAGUGAACAGCACGACCAAUC